GUGGGAAGGUGUGUCUCUCUCUUGCAGGUUUCUGCCUUGCUCUUUGAGGCUGCUACAAACUACAGCUCUGCCAUGCCACCCUACCUUGGUGCUAACUGAGUAUGGACUGAAAUCUCCACAAACUAUUAUUUGCCUGACAAGCUUUGCUGAAACAACUAAUUAUAAGUCAAAAAUGGAAAUGAAAUGAUCCAUCUGGACAUAAAGCCCAACUUUUUGUGGCCACACUGGAGUAUCGCCCUGAUGAAAGAAUUGUAGCACAAUAAACUCAAAAGGAUGAGCUGUGGAAUCAUCUCAGCCAGGUCUGAGUCCUGCCUGUGCUACCAG